ACGAGUUCGCCGAUUUAGCUUUAGGGAAAUAUUUUCGGUAACGCACCGUACCGGUAUUCUAACGCAUCCCGGUACCGGUACUGUCCAAAUUAUCAACUUGGCAAGCGAAUUUGUUAGAGAAAUAUUUUAUAUUUGACAAAGCAGAUGAAUGCAAAAAGGGAUAUAACACACAAGAGCCGUCAGCUUCCUUUUUUGUACCGGUGCCAGGAAAAAAAAAAAUUCCAUGCUGACGCUUAUUAUUUGGUCACAAGAUUGAAGGACUAUGGAGGUUUCCCGAACUGCUUUCAACUCAGCCUGAAGCACAAUUCAAGGAUGUUUGAUUGAAAUGAAUAAAGCUGCUGGACACGGACUCUACUCUAGUCUUGGGUAGCAAGAAUAUAUUUCGAUCCAAUCUCUCCAACAUGAAAACAAUGAAUUGCGACAAGAAAAUUUGAUUGAACUGAACAAAGUUGCCGGACACAGACCAAGGUCUACUUUAGUCUUAAGUAUUCAGCAAGAAAAUAAUGCAAUUCGGUCCCUACAACAUGAGAAUGAUGAAUUGCGACAAAGUUUGACCGUCCACCAGAACGCAUUGGAACUUAUCAUGACCAAGUACAGACAGCAGAUGAUGAAAUUUA